rfam:Mycobacterium sp. ACS4331 contig_4, whole genome shotgun sequence.
AACGCCGCGCAAGUGGGCCGACGGUCGACUCCUGCGGCGUAGGGGCCCAGCCCGCCCCGGGAAGCUGCAA